CUGCCCUCAAGUGAUCCUCUUGCCUCGGCCUUCCAAAGUGCUUGGAUUACAGGCAUGAGCCACCACAGCUGUUCAGCAAUUACUGACAGUUAACUGAGAGUUAAAUUACUUUAAGUCCUGGGUUUUUUUUGUUUUUUGUUUUUUGUGGUUUUUUUGGCCAUACUUGUAGGGGGUGCAGGGGGCGGGGCGUUCCAGGCUCCAGUCCCUUUCGGGGUAUGGCCUUCUCUUUCUUCUCUGCUGUCUGGCUGAUGCAGCCUGCAUGAACCAUGAACUUGACUAGUUUGGUUCUGACUCUCAAUUUUUAUUUCAAUUAUCAUUAACUUAUAAAAAUCUUCCCCCUUAUUUGAGUAAGAGAUGUCAUGUCAAAAAAAAAAAAAAAGUCGCAGCUACAUUUUAGCUCAUUUCAAUCUUUGCUGCUACCUGGAUUUCCUGGCUUCUUGACAACCCAUAUUUAGCACAUAUUGAGGCUGUAAUUGCAUAAUCAUGGAAAGGUCAUAGGUGAACUUUUUGUGCUUCAGAAAUUUCCUGAAUUACUAGCUGUGUCUCAAAAGGAAUUGACAACUUGCAUUUUUAGCAAGUAUUACAAUUUGAAUAUACCACAAUAUUAUUAUAAACAAUUAAAAAUCCUAAGUAAGUCCAAACAAGAGAGUAGCAAAGACACAAAAGAUAAUAGGCAGGACCUGUGUAAAAGGGAAAAUGAAUGAUGUUACCAUUAUGAUGCUAUGACCAUUAGUUCGGUCAGUAUUUUAUAAGGUGUAUAUUAGCAGUUUGUAAAGAACUGCUGUUCUGGUAUUCUGGUAUUCCCAAGUAGCUUAGAGAGGCUAUUCUACAGCUAUUUCUUCAAGAAUGACAGUUUCCAGCCUGUCUUUUUAAAUGUCAGAAGAAGUGUCUGAUGUAAAGUAGGAAUUAGGAUAUGAGAAUCAGAGUCACGUAGAGUUUCUCAAACAAGACCUCUAAGUCUUAAGCAAGAAUCGGCAUAUCAGUUUUACAGAUGGAAACAUCGUAAGAGCCGUUUGUUUAUACUCGGCAUAAUUAGAGAUAAUUACGUGUUUAACAAUCUUUUAAGCUCAUCCUCUGGUUUGUAAGGAACAGAGACUCAUGUUAAUUACCCAGAAAAAGGAGGCAUAUUGCUAAGCCACAUAAACUAGAACAAGAGCAGAAAUGGCAUCAGAAUGAAUUGUGCAACCCAGCUCUCUACUUCUCUCUGACAUGGACAUCUCCGAUUCCCCCUCCUCUUUACUUCUAUCCCUAACCCCAACGCCUGAUACAGGCACAGAAAACAGCAGUCAAACUAAUGUCAAUAUAUGAUGUGCUAUAUUUGCUAUCUGAAACAAAUAUGUACAUUGCUUUCUGGUUUUUGUGUGUGACUUGAUUAGGCUAAGUCGGCAUCCCUGUGGACAGAAAAUCCCAAGGCAGAGACAAAAUAGAGUUUCUGUGCCUGCAAGGAUGGGCCUGCCCCUGGACUGUGGGCUCUCCAAAGAAACUUUCCAGAUGAAGAGAAAUGCUCCAUGUCUGUGCUGUGCAAGAUGGGAGCUUCUGGACACCAGUGGCUACUGAGCACUCGAACUGUGGCUGGUGCAACCAAGGAACCGAAAUUUUUUUUACUUAAUUUUUAUUUUACUUAAUUUUUUUUACUUAAUUUUUAUUUUACUUUAUUCUAAUUAGCUAAAGCUUAAUUUUUAGUAGCUAGUGGCUGCCAUCAGAGUCCAGCAUACUUUAACAUUUAUAUUGUCUUAAUCUUUUCUCUUUUUUUUUCUUUAAAAUAUACACAGAGACAGUGUCUCCCUUUGUUGCCCAUUCUUGGCUUGAACUCCUGGGCUAAAGCAGUCCUCUUGCCUCAGCCUCCCAAAGAUGGGAUUACGGGUGCGAGCCACCACACUCUGCCACUUACAGUAUCUUCUUGUUUUACAUGUUUUCUCCAGAUCUUGAUCCUCAAAAUUGAAAAUCAGUUGUGAGUAUUGCAUUAUUAUGCCUGUAAAAAUUAUCCUUAACUUCACAAGCCGAACAGUAUAGAGUAAUUCCAUUCUGUUCCUUUACUGCUUUUAUUGUUAUUUCUUGAUGUUUUCUAAUUGUUUUUCUAUUUUUCUUUCUUUGGCUGCGCUGCCCAUAUUGGUUACUCCAUAAUUUCAGGGGUGGUAUCACGCUCUGUGAUUCCAUUUUCCCCUGAAUACUUUGCUUUUGGAAACUUUUCCUCUCUUACCGAGCUCCAUGCUGAUGUUUGCUGUGUGGUUCAGCUGCCUGAUUCCCAUCCAAGGAUUUCCCUUUGCAACGCUCCCAGGUUGAGUCUUCUGUUUCCCGGAUUCCACCACUUCCAUUUUUUAGUUUACUCCCUUAUUUUGCUGGGGUCCAUCAUCAAGUAACUUCCUAAGAAGGGAUCAGCAACCUACUUUCCACGGGCCGCUUUUGGCUUGCUGCCUAUUUUUGCACAGCUGGUAAGUUAUGACAGUUUUUUACAUUUUUAGGUGCUUAAAAAAAUCAAAAGAAGAAGAUUUUGUGAUGCGUGAAAAUUAUAGGCAGUUCAAAUGUUAGUGGCCCUAGAUAAAGUUUUAUUAGAGCACAGCUGCUCUUUUACAUGUUAUCUAUGGCUGCUUUGAUACCACAAUGGCAGGGUUGAGUAAUUGAACAGAGAUUGGCCCACGAAAUCUAAAAUAUUUACUAUCUGGCCUGUUCCAGAAAUAGUUUGUCAGCUCCUGGUUUAGUUGGUCAGAGUCAAAAACCCAAGUUCUCACAACGAUCCCCAUAGGACCUAACCAUAAUCAUGGGUUCCCCGGCUCCCCUCUCCAUCUCUGACCCGCUCUGCUCUGUUCCAGCCACACCUGCCCCCAUGCUGUUCCUGCGGCACCAAAAGGCUCUGGGGGUGGCAGGAUGUUUGCAUUUGGGGCUCUGUCUGCGGAUUUCUCUUCCCUUAGCUGUCUACACAGCUCACGCCUUCACUUCCUCCAGGCUGUCACUCAGAGGUCACCUUUGUGAGUCCUUUGCUGGCCUCCCCAUCUAAUUUUUAGCCUCUCCUUAGACUCUAUAUAUUUCCUCUGCUGAUUUAUUUUUCCUCCUUAGCACUUACUUCUACCUAACACAUUAUAUUUUACUUUCUUUGUUUGUGUAGAGAGUACACCAUCCUGAUCUGAGCAUGAGAAAAGAAGUUCCCUGAGGGCAGGACUUUAUUUGGUUCACUGCUGCGUCCUCACUGCCUAGACACAGUGCUCAAAAAUAUUUGCUGAAUGCUAUGGCUAGGCUUUGUGUCCCCACCCAAACCUCGUCUUGAAUUGUAAUCCCCAUAAUCUCCAUGUGUCAAGGGAGACACCAGGUAGAGGAAAUUGAAUCAUGGGGGUGGUUUCCCCCAUGCUGUUCUUGUGAGAGUGAGUUCUCAUGAGAUCUGAUGGUUUUAUAAGGGGCUCUUACCCCAUUACUCAGCACUUCUCUUUCCUGCCACCUUGUGAAGAAGGCGCCUUGCUUCCCUUCACCUUCCACUGUGAUUGUAAGUUUCCUGAGGCCUCCCUAGCCAUGCUGAAUUAAACCUCUUUAAUUUAUAAGAGUCAAUUAAACCUCUUUCCUUUAGAAAUUACCCAGUCUCUGGCAGUUCUUUAUGGCAGUAUGAAAAUGGACUAAUACACUGGAUGAAUGAACACAAAAUUCUAGAGUGAAAUAUAAAUCCUUCAGAACUUUGAAGGCUGUGCUCGCUGACCUUCUAACCCUUAAUGCUACUUCUGUGAAAUCUGGAGCCCUUUGAUUCCUUGUUUCUGUGAAAGUGACUUAUUUUCUGUGUUUGGGAGAUUUUAAGAUUUUCUCUUUAUUUCCGGAGUUUGGAAAUUUUGCAGUGACUUGAAAUUCUUCAUCCUAGGCACUCGAUGAGACUUUUUAAUCUAAAUAUUCUUGGACUUCAGGGGGAUCCUUUAUGUUAUUUCUUUGACUAUGUCAUCAAAUAAUAUUUCCUGAAAAUUUCACUUGAAUUUAUCACCCAACCUAUCAAAAUCUUUAUUUAACAAUUAUAUUUGCAAUAUCCAAGGGGUCUUUCUUGUUUUCAGAUUAUCUAUCUUUCUUAGCAUCCUGUUCUUUUUAAUGGAUACAAUAUCUUCAGGACUGUCUCUAAGGAUACUGAUUAGAAGCAUAUCUAGGCCAGGCGUGGUGACUCAUGCCUGUAAUCCCA